CCUCUGUCCUGGCCGCCUUCCCACCCCUCCUAGGCCGGCUUCCCGCCUUGGGGCCCAGUCGCGCACCUCAGGCCCCAGGAACCCCAGUGUCCCGCUGGGCUUCCCCUCCUCCGGAGGCGAAAGGCCUUGUUUUCUUGCAGUUGCCUCCUCUGCCCUCUUCUCUUGGGGCUCCUUCUUCCACGAUUGCCUCUAUCAAGCAGAAAACCGUGUCCUGGGCCCAACUUUGCAGAGACAAACGGAAAAGCUGCGCAGGCAGAAAGCUAGGAGAUUCACUGCCCCUGGACCCUCGACCCUUAGUCACCUCUGUGCCCCCAUGGCAUCUAUGCCCGGGCCAAGCGCGCCCCCGGAGAGACCUCGCCAACUCAGCGCGACUACAACUUCCCCGGGGGCGGCGGUCGCACCCUGGGCAUCUGCCCUCGUUCUCCUGACCAUCAGAUCUCCUCUCGCCAGAUAACCAGAUCUGCCUGUCGUCUACCCUCUCUCGGCCUCCCAGGAUCUGCCUGGACAAGGAGUGUGCUGGAAUGGCCCAGAAGGUCUGGGCUGUUCAACCUCCCCCUAAAGGGUUGGGGCGUCCGCCUCUGGAGCCUCAGAGAAUCUCCAUGUCUGGCGAAAACACUUAGAGGUAGUUCUGCAUCCCUCAGCGAAGGCCAGGGCUGGAAUCGGGAGAAAGCGGGGCUCCUCUCCCUUCUGUCCCCCAACCGGCCAGCCGGAGGGGGAUGAGGGGAGCAAACCAGGUCUACCUUUCCAAGCUGGGCUCUCCGAGGUAGGGGGCGCGCAGCCGGGCUGCCGUGUCUCCCGGGCGCCAAGCCGAGACCCGCGCGCAGGACACUAGUCCGCCUGGCUCAGUCGUUGUAACAACUUGGAAGGAAUAUUGUUAGGAGAGCAAACAAAUAAACACAAAGUUGUUAAUGUCAAAUCAUUCUCUCCAG
ensembl:lncRNA